rnacentral:snRNA from 1 species
UUGCUUGCUUUGGCAGCACAUAUAGUAGAAUUGGAAUGGUAUAGAGAAGAUUAGCAUGGCCCCUGUGCAAGGAUGACAGGCAAAUUCAUGAAGUGUUCCAUGUAUUU